AGCAGUCGCCGCGGGAAUACGUAGGUGGCAAGCGUUGUCCGGAAUUAUUGGGCGUAAAGCGCGCGCAGGCGGAUAGGUCAGUCUGUCUUAAAAGUUCGGGGCUUAACCCCGUGAUGGGAUGGAAACUGCCAAUCUAGAGUAUCGGAGAGGAAAGUGGAAUUCCUAGUGUAGCGGUGAAAUGCGUAGAUAUUAGGAAGAACACCAGUGGCGAAGGCGACUUUCUGGACGAAAACUGACGCUGAGGCGCGAAAGCCAGGGGAGCGAACGGGAUUAGAUACCCCAGUAGUCCCUGUCUCUUAUACA
rnacentral:rRNA from 1 species